UGCAUAGACCAGUCAGCUUCUGGGUGUG
rnacentral:piRNA from 1 species